rnacentral:misc_RNA from 1 species
AAGUCGUAACAAGGUUUCCGUAGGUGAACCUGCGGAAGGAUCAUUAUUGAAAUAAACCUGAUGGGUUGCUGCUGGCUCUUCAGGGAGCAUGUGCACACUUGUCAUCUUUAUAUCUCCACCUGUGCACCUCGUGUAGACUUGGAUAUCUUUCUGAAUGCUGGUCAUUUGGGUUUGAGGAUUGACCUUUGUGUCUCUUCCUUACAUUUCCAGGUCUAUGUUUUCUUUAUAUACCCCCAACGUAUGUUAUAGAAUGUAAUAAAUGAAUGGGCCUUCAUGGCCUAUAAAACCUAUACAACUUUCAGCAACGGAUCUCUUGGCUCUC